rnacentral:rRNA from 1 species
CACCUCGGCCUAACUCCCCGUGCCCAAGUCAGCCCGCGGUAAUACCGGAGGGGUGCGAGCCGUUAAAUCCGGAAAUUUACCUGGGGCGUAAAGCCGCCAUGCCAGGGUGGGUUUGUUUAAAGUCCAGAUGUGAAAAGCCCCGGGGCUCAAACCCUCCGGAAAGGUCAUUUGAAAACUGGCAAACUAGAGUACUGUAGAGUGGGGGGUAGAAUUUCAGGUGUAGCGGUGAAAUGCGUAGAGAUCUGAAGGAAUACCAGUGGCGAAGGCGGCCCCCCUGGACAGAUACUGACACUCAGAUGCGAAAGCGUGGGGAGCAAACGGGAUUAGAUACCCCGGUAGUGCACGCCGUAAACGAUGUCUACUUGGAGGUUGUGGCCUUGAGCCGUGGCUUUCGGAGCUAACGCGUUAAGUAGACCGCCUGGGGAGUACGGUCGCAAGAUUAAAACUCAAAUGAAUUGACGGGGGCCCGCACAAGCGGUGGAGCAUGUGGUUUAAUUCGAUGCAACGCGAAGAACCUUACCUACUCUUGACAUCUACAGAAGUCGGCGGAGACGCUGAUGUGCCUUCGGGAACUGUAAGACAGGUGCUGCAUGGCUGUCGUCAGCUCGUGUUGUGAAAUGUUGGGUUAAGUCCCGCAACGAGCGCAACCCUUAUCCUUGUUUGCCAGCGAGUAAUGUCGGGAACUCCAGGGAGACUGCCGGUGAUAAACCGGAGGAAGGUGGGGACGACGUCAAGUCAUCAUGGCCCUUACGAGUAGGGCUACACACGUGCUACAAUGGCGCAUACAGAGGGCAGCAAGCUAGCGAUAGUGAGCGAAUCCCAAAAAGUGCGUCGUAGUCCGGAUUGGAGUCUGCAACUCGACUCCAUGAAGUCGGAAUCGCUAGUAAUCGUGGAUCAGAAUGCCACGGUGAAUACGUUCCCGGGCCUUGUACACACCGCCCGUCACACCAUGGGAGUGGGCUGCAAAAGAAGUAGGUAGUUAACCUUCGGGGAGGACG